UACGUGCUCUUGGGAUCAUUAUGAGUCGAAAAAGUUCGUAUAAACGUGGCUCCAUUUCGCAACGGUUUGUUAAGAAAAUGCUCCGCAUUCACUAUGCAUUGACUGUGUUUGCGAAAUUAAUUCACUAGGCUGCGCACAUGGCGCACGUAGGGAAGUCACAGGGCAGUCAGUGCUUGACAUCUAAGCGCUACGUGCGUUUCCUACAGGAGAGCUGUCAUUGAUGUUAUAAGAUGUUCCUCUGCUAACCACGCAAGAUAAUGCACUUCCUCAUCUUGGUAGGCAGGUGACUGCAUUUCUGAAUCGACACCGUUGGAAUGGCAGAGGUGGUCCAGUUGCUAGGGCAAAGAGAUUAUCAGAUCGAUCGUCUUUGGACUACUUUCUCUGGGGUCGCAUAGAAUCCCUGGUGUAUGCCAUCAAGUCAAACAGAGGGCUGAGACGCUGAAUCGAAUAAUGGACACCGAUACCAACAUCAAAAAUGAUCAUGACAAUAUGUGGAGGGCUGUUACUUCAGUUACACGAAGGGCUCUACUGUGCAUCGACAAUCAGGAUGGCCAUUGCGAGUCACGUAAAUAACCUGCAAGACCCAAGCCACCAGCUGCUGCUGUGAUCAAGACAGUAUCAGUUUCCUUCAAUUUUCCACGUCGAACAAGGCCAAUAAGAGCUGUUGAAUAUGAAUCUGCCAAUGCAACAGCAGUUUCAAAACUCACUGCAGACGGCAGCUGCCACACAUCCUUUUCUGAAUGGACAAAGCAGUAAGGUUAUUUCUAAGCAUCUGGGCGAUUGCUAAACCUGUAAGCAGCAAGGUCCUACCAUCAUGCCAACCGCCCAAGAUUCUAACUACUGGCAAAACCAACAGGGCCUACAAUCUAAAUGAAUUAGAAAUAAAACUUAACUUCACUCUCCAAUGUUCUGCACACAUUCCUGGUACGACCAUAUAAAGGUUACAUCCACAAAUUGACAUACUAUUGGGAAAUAACUUUUCACUGGCACCCACCACAUGCCAUGGGAUAUCAUGUAUUAAACACAAACUGUGCAAAUUUCAGUAGCUGCAGAAGAUAUGGUUUAUUCACCCACCUGACGUGGCUUGUAACACGAGUCUUUCAUCAACUUCAGUCGGCACAAAAGCUUCACUUUAUAUAUCUGUGUAUGUACUUCAGUAUGUAAAUAAAACCAAGCCUCAUCAGAAAAUAAAAUCAGCUGAACAUUGA